UAAGAAGUAGGUAAAAGUAAUACCAUGGAAAUUUGGGUUCCAAAUUAAGAGCUCAACUCUCUUCUCCUUAU
rnacentral:tRNA from 1 species